rnacentral:rRNA from 1 species
UGGGGAAUAUUGGACAAUGGGGGCAACCCUGAUCCAGCAAUGCCGCGUGUGUGAAGAAGGUCUUCGGAUUGUAAAGCACUUUCGACGGGGACGAUGAUGACGGUACCCGUAGAAGAAGCCCCGGCUAACUUCGUGCCAGCAGCCGCGGUAAUACGAAGGGGGCUAGCGUUGCUCGGAAUGACUGGGCGUAAAGGGCGUGUAGGCGGUUUACACAGUCAGAUGUGAAAUCCCCCGGGCUUAACCUGGGAGCUGCAUUUGAUACGUGUAGACUAGAGUGUGAGAGAGGGGUUUGUGGA